GUGGCAUUUGCCGUUGCUUAUCUGGUAUGUUCUCUGAUUAGUUAAAGACGUCUAGAUUCUUCUGGAGGCCAACGUGGCGUAAUAGUAAUGGUUGGAUUUUUUGGCUGGAUAGUUAAAGUCGGUAACGCGACUUUAGGGAUUACACGACGAUGACAGUUCUUUGCACCAACGUCAACACUAUCUAUGUUUUGUUGAUCCUAAACUUCUAUUGGUUACAACUUUCUUAUAGCUUUUUUUCUUAUAUAUAUA
rnacentral:lncRNA from 1 species